AGAACUGGCUUCCUAGCAUCAGGGUGCCCUGGCUUAGGAGGCCCCUGCUGUAGAAGCAGUGGCAUCUGUGGCCAGCUUGGGGGGCUCACAAGGAUGCCCUGGUCUGGCAGACAGUCUCAGUUGGGCAUGGUUUCAUCUGGGAAGGCCACAGACACAUCUUCCACUGUGAUGCUGUCCACGAUGGAGGGACCCCUGGGGCGGGGACAUUGUCCUCUCUGUGGAGAAGGUCAGCCACCAGGCGCCAGCUGGGGAGCUGCAGGAGCCACCAUCACUCCUUUGCUGGUCAAGACUACAGGGGCACACAGAACCUCCCAGCCCACCCUUUAGGGCCCUGGAGUCCGUAGGUCUCUGCAGAGACCCAAGGAAGAGGACCAGAGCAAGGAAUAAGCACCUUCAUUACACUACAUCCGUCGGAUGAGACUCUUUUAAAGACCUCCCCUCGAAAAGAAUGGGACUGCUUCAGAUUCUGGGUAUCCACGGGCACUCAGUAUCCAGGGAUAAGAAGGAUCGCGACUCAGAGUAGCUAAUGAAUUCCACUUUCGGGGUUCCCAAGCGGCUUUGACCUGUAUGUUCUCUUAGGUCUCAUGUGAUGGCAGGGGGUAAAUUGAGGCAAGAGAAAUUAUUUGGGUUUUGGUUUUCUUGCCAGGGGUCAAGAGAAAUCUUCUCUUUAAUACAGCAGCCGUGGUCAGAACAGGGAUUAGAAUUUACAGCCUACACGUUGCCACCUUCCCCGGAGCGUCAAGGUCAAGAUUACUAAGCUCCCUGUCUCCUCCCUGUCUCACUCUGGACCAUUGAUCUGUCCUUCUGUGUUACCUCCUCAACUCUUUUUCCAGCACCAGAAUUUUCCUGACUCAUUACUGUGGAUGGGGGUGGGAAAGGAGAAAAAACAGAGCCCUUCUAACUCAGUUUAAAUCUCCUCUCUCCUCGACCACCGGGCUUGGUUGUUCUGCCUCUUCCUGUCCAAGGCAUCCAUUUUACAAGUAACAUGCAGGUCUCAAAUGUCAGGUGGAGCAGGGACUAUUUAAUCUUCAGGCCUCUCAGGCCAUGAUCACUUCUCAGUAGGUGCCUCAGGGUCUGAGAAGACAAAUUCCUUCCAAUGCAGUGGGCAGACUUCAGACAACAGCAUGAACAGGGCUCAGUCUUAGGGCUGGGAAUUAUAGGGACACCCCAGACAGGGUCCCUGCCCUCGACCUUACCAUCUAGUAGACAACGGUGGUCACCUCUUUCUACCCAGCCCCUGAUGCCCGAAUCCCCUCCCAGGUGGCCACUGUCAGCUUCUCACUCAUGUCAGGAGACAGCUCGUUCCAUUGGUGUGCAACUUUGAGCUGCAAUCUGCUCCCUGUGUCUUUUACCCUUUGUUCCCAGUUUUUUUCCCCCUAGGACCCCAUAAUCUAAAUCUGAUCUGUCGUACUCCUCAUCCGAUGACAGGUCAAACUGAUGAGUUCAAGCCAGUGGCAAGGACAAUGGAGGGAGGACAAGACUUCACAGGGAAGGGGAGACCUGCAUGGCAUGUGACGAACCAGAGUUCCUUCUCGUCAUUAUUCCCAGCAAAGGAGCCAGGAGGAUUCUGAUGGGCUUUUGGGAUAGGAAGCAGAGGGAAGGCGGGAACAUGGCUGGGCAAGAAAAGAACCCUGAGCAUGUUGAGGGGGAGCUGUGAGGUCUUAAUUCUGUUCUUGGCCUUACCGGCAUGAUAGAAAGUAGCA